GUGUUACAGUCUGUAACUCACAUAAUAAACUGGGAACGAUACAGAGAAGAUUAGCAUGGCCCUGUGCAAGGUUGACACGCAUGAUCGUGAAGCGUUCUCACUUUUC